UUGUACUCAUUCAAUUGUUACCCUCUAUAAAAGGGGUCACUUUCAACUAAUGAAAAACAAAAGAGAAAGUGAAAGUGAAAUACAGAAACAAGCUCUCUUCCUCCCAUUUCUCUGUGUCCCAAAUUCCAGUGUCGUGAGUGUGGUUGUGAGAAAUCUAGUAAUUCGAUUCCUAACACAUUAUCAGCACGAGCUCUACCGAGCUAAGAGGGUAAGAAGGUAGGAAAUCGAUUCAUCCGAGGCUUACUUCUAUAUCUCCUUGUUUUUGAACAAGCAUGAGUUCCUCACCGCCACCCUAAAGAUGUGCGUGCGGACAUGCACAAGCCCAGCAGGCCCGCCACAGCCAUGCGUAGUCGCAACACCCCUAGGCCAUUGAGUAGACUAACGGGCGCCCCUAGCCCCGCCAGCACGCGGGCUCGUUGCGCCAGGCCACAAUGGCCGUAGGCGUGCUAGGCUGCUGACUUGGCACGCCGGCCACCGCUGCGCACUAGGCCAGCCGCGGGCGCAGCACCGCCGCCGCGUGCUAGCCGGCCAUGGGGGAGCCAUGCUGGCCACUGCGCGCCGUGGCUGCGGAUGUGACGCGCUGGCUGCCUUGCACCCCUAGCCUCCUCCCCCUUCUCUCUCUAUAGAAGAAGAUAAGAAGAAGAUAAGGAAGAGAGAGAAAUG
rnacentral:lncRNA from 1 species